UACGUAGGGUGCAAGCGUUGUUCGGAAUCAUUGGGCGUAAAGCGCGUGUAGGCUGUUAGUUAAGUCAGAUGUGAAAGCCCUCGGCUCAACCGGGGAAGUGGCGCGGAUACGACCGGCCUCGAGGGGGGUAGGGGGACCUGGAACUUCCGGUGUAGCGGUGAAAUGCGUAGAGAUCGGGAAGAACAUCGGUGGCGAAGGCGGCUCUCUAGUACGGUACUGACGCUGAGACGCGAAAGCGUGGGGAGCGAACAGG
rnacentral:rRNA from 1 species